rnacentral:rRNA from 1 species
AUACGGAGGGUGCAAGCGUUAUUCGGAAUCACUGGGCGUAAAGGACGCGUAGGCGGGUUGGCAAGUCAGAUGUGAAAUCCUACAGCUUAACUGUAGAACUGCAUUUGAAACUGCUAACCUAGAGUAUGGGAGGGGGAGAUGGAAUUAGUGGUGUAGGAGUAAAAUCCGUAGAUACCACUAGGAAUACCGAAAGCGAAGGCGAUCUCCUGGAACAUAACUGACGCUAAGGCGUGAAAGCGUGGGGAGCAAACAGGAUUAGAAACCCUAGUAGUCC